UUCUCCAACUACCCAAGACCGACUUUCCCUUAUCAUCAAUCCUCAAUUACUCCCCCCAUCUACCAUACUAUAGCUUCAAUUGAUCACAACCCUUACUUCUGCCCUAUAUCUACCAUUACAUCUCAACAACAAAACAGAAUCAUCUACUGCUGCUCGUUGCUGUCGGAGCCAUACCGGAGAGAGAAUCAUCUGCAAAUGGUGGAAUGAAGGUAAAGGUUGAUAAAGAUGAGUCGUCUCCAUAAGCAGCUAUGCUUGUUGCACAAGAUGUUUCAACAAGAUGCAAGGUUUUUACUUGUUUAUUUUAGUGUCUUGCUAUAUGGUAAUCAUAGCAGUUUGUUUUUGUUUGAUACAUUACAACUAACAAAUUUCUGUUGUAACAACUGGACCUUGGAAUCAAUGCACUCCAUAUAAAACUAUGGGCAACUGGAGGUAACAAGACAAAGACACCCGGUCCAGGUGCACAGUUUGCCCUCAGAGCUCUUGCCCGUUCUGGCAUGAAGAUUGGUCACAUUGAGGACGUGACACGAAUUCCAACAGAUAGCACUCGUCGAAAGAGUGGGAGAAGAGGAAGGAGGCUGUGAUAUGUUUUUUGUCUACAAUAUGUUUUCAAUGUAUCUGCAAUUUGGAUUAUGGUUGUCUUCAACUUUUGUAGGUUAUUU
rnacentral:lncRNA from 1 species